ACGAAGGUGGCAAGCGUUGUUCGGAUUUACUGGGCGUAAAGGGAGCGUAGGUGGUCGGGUAAGCCCCGCGGGAAAGCUCCAGGCUUAACCUGGAAAGGUCGCGGGGGACUGCGCGGCUAGAGGACGGGAGAGGAGCGCGGAAUUCCCGGUGUAGCGGUGAAAUGCGUAGAUAUCGAGAGGAACACCUGCGGCGAAGGCGGGUUGCUGGGCUGACACUGACGCUGAUGCGCGAAAGCUAGGGGAGCGAACGGGA
rnacentral:rRNA from 1 species